rnacentral:rRNA from 1 species
GACGAACGCUGGCGGCGGGCUUAACACAUGCAAGUCGAACGGAAAGGCCCUGCUUUUGUGGGGUGCUCGGGUGGCGAACGGGUGAGUAACACGUGAGUAACCUGCCCUUGACUUUGGGAUAACUUCAGGAAACUGGGGCUAAUACCGGAUAUGAGCUCCUGCUGCAUGGUGGGGGUUGGAAAGUUUCGGCGGUUGGGGAUGGACUCGCGGCUUAUCAGCUUGUGGGUGGGGGAGUUGCUUACCAAGGCUUUGACGGGUAGCCGGCCUGAGAGGGUGAGCGGCGACCAUGGGACUGCGGUACGGCCCAGACUGCUACGGGGGGCAGCAGUGGGGAAUAUUGCCCACUGGGCGGAAGCCUGAUGCAGCCACGCCGCGUGCGGGAUGACGGCCUUCGGGUUGUAAACCGCUUUCGCCUGGGACGAAGCGUGCGUGACGGUAAUGGGUAAAGAAGCACCGGCUAACUCCGUG